rnacentral:rRNA from 1 species
CCUACGGGAGGCAGCAGUGGGGAAUAUUGGACAAUGGGCGAAAGCCUGAUCCAGCCAUGCCGCGUGUGUGAAGAAGGCCUUCGGGUUGUAAAGCACUUUCAGUGGGGAAGAAAGCCUUGGGGCUAAUACCCUCGAGGAAGGACAUCACCCACAGAAGAAGCACCGGCUAACUCCGUGCCAGCAGCCGCGGUAAUACGGAGGGUGCGAGCGUUAAUCGGAAUUACUGGGCGUAAAGCGCGCGUAGGCGGUCUGAUAAGCCGGUUGUGAAAGCCCCGGGCUCAACCUGGGAACGGCAUCCGGAACUGUCAGGUUAGAGUGCAGGAGAGGAAGGUAGAAUUCCCGGUGUAGCGGUGAAAUGCGUAGAGAUCGGGAGGAAUACCAGUGGCGAAGGCGGCCUUCUGGACUGACACUGACGCUGAGGUGCGAAAGCGUGGGUAGCAAACAGGAUUAGAUACCCCAGUAGUC